rnacentral:rRNA from 1 species
GACGAACGCUGGCGGCGUGCCUAAUACAUGCAAGUCGAGCGGACUGAAUGGGAGCUUGCUCUUGUUCGGUCAGCGGCGGACGGGUGAGUAACACGUGGGCAACCUGCCCGCAAGACCGGGAUAACUCCGGGAAACCGGAGCUAAUACCGGAUAACACCGAAGACCGCAUGGUCUUUGGUUGAAAGGCGGCGCAAGCUGCCACUUGCGGAUGGGCCCGCGGCGCAUUAGCUAGUUGGUGAGGUAACGGCUCACCAAGGCGACGAUGCGUAGCCGGCCUGAGAGGGUGACGGGCCACAAGGGGACUGAGACACGGCCAAGACGCAUACGGGAGGGAGCAGUAGGGAAGCGUGCGCAAGGGGCGAAAGCCUGACGGAGAGACGCCGGGUGAGCGAAGAAGGCCGGCGGGUCGUAAAGCUCGGUUGGGAGGGACGAAGGAGCGCCGUUUGAAGAAGGCGGCGCGGUGACGGUACCUAACGAGGAAGCCCCGGCUAACUACGUG